CACGUAGGGCGCAAGCGUUGUCCGGAAUUAUUGGGCGUAAAGAGCUCGUAGGCGGUGUGUUGCGUCUGCUGUGAAAACCCGGGGCUUAACCCCUGGCUUGCAGUGGAUACGGACAGACUAGAGGUAGGUAGGGGAGAAUGGAAUUCCCGGUGUAGCGGUGAAAUGCGCAGAUAUCGGGAGGAACACCGGUGGCGAAGGCGGUUCUCUGGGCCUUACCUGACGCUGAGGAGCGAAAGCGUGGGGAGCGAACAGG
rnacentral:rRNA from 1 species